ensembl:lncRNA
GGGAGUGCAUGUACAGUUCUCUCUCCACCUUCAAUACCAUGACUUAGGUGCCCUUGAGCAAGGCACUGAACCCCCAACUGCUCCCCGGGCGCCGCAGCAUAAAAUGGCUGCCCACUGCUCCGGGUGUGUGUUCACAGUGUGUGUGUGUGUUCACUGCUCUGUGUGUGUGUGCACUUCGGAUGGGUUAAAUGCAGAGCACGAAUUCUGAGUAUGGGUCACCAUACUUGGCUGAAUGUCACUUUCACUUUUACUUUAGAGGGCAGUUAAGUUAGUUUCACAUUCUAUAUUCGCUGCAUAUUUCCUUACUGUGAAAAUACCAACCACACAGUGCGCUCUCUCUCUCUCUCUAUACAAUUCAAAAUUAAAUAUUAUUUUCACAUUUAAAAGAUUGUAAUAGGUUCCCAAGUAGCUAGUGUAUGCUCUGCUGCUGCUUUGACUUUCUCUUUAUUGUGUCUGUGUGUCGCAGCAUUAAAUACUGAGCGAUGAACUAGGAGGAGUUUCUUUCCUGUUCCUGUAAAGACACUGUGUUCGACUUGCUCUUCGUGUUUUAAUACUUAUUCCCUCAACAAAAUUUUAAUUCGCCAUGAUCUCUACCCUAGUAAAAAAGUGAGGACAGGCAGCUAUUGAUUUUCCGUGUCAUCUAAAGAAAGAAAAUACCACUUUCAUACAGUCUCCUCCAGUGCUGUGAAAUACCGUCAUCAAUGAUCAUUCACAGUGUGCAGGUGUGGGAACAUGAACUGCUUCUUCCUGCCAAUCUCUCCAUCUAUUCUAAGGCAGUUUUUCUCCACCUCUUUCUUCUUUUCUUCCAGCAUAACAGCGAGCAAUUACCCAUAUAUUGGCGAGGUCUAGCGAUGGCAUGAUUGCUAUAACAGUCCAGUCAUCACACCGGCAUGUGCCCUCUGUUCAUGAAGUCAGAAGGUCUGAGAUGCUGGAAUCAUGUGCUCUGGGGACAUAUGAACGGAGACUCAUCAGCCUUGAAGUUGCAAGCACAAGUUACAUGGGCUCUAGAGCUUAAAGUUGAAGUCCCAUGUGUGGCAUGUAUUUAAAUAUGCAGAAUCCCACCCAUCUGCAGAGUUUAAGCAAAGACAGGUAGGUAUAUACAUACACGUAUAUACAUACACGUAUAUAUAAAAAAAAAAAAAAAAAAAAAAAAAAAAACCCACACACUUAUCAGCAAUUUUGAAUUUUCUGAAAUUUGAUUGAUUGAACUCCUGCUUAAAUCAAAAUAAAUUUGAUUUAUCAAAGCUUUGUGAAAAUAUA